GAAUCGAGUAAUACAGGUCCUCUACGUCGAUUCCGUGCUGAAAGCGGUGCAGAUCUGAGGGUUCUGCUUCAUUAGAUAAUGAACAAGGGCACCGGAGCUCAGAAUCACAAAAGGGUCGACAACGUGAAGUGAGUCCAGGUGCUUCAAGAGGCAGCCAGAGACGACAUAACACCAUGAAUCGCGCCUGGAAACAAUAGCAGGGAACGGCAUGGACGGCUUGUGCGUUUUAACAGUGAAGAAGACAUCCAAGUGCAACGCACGGAAAUCGAGGACGAGUCCAGCUGCGGCGGCGUGGAAGAGGAGGGCGAGUCGCUGGACGUCACCGCUGACCAGGCCGCACUGGUGAACACGCUGUCCAGCAGCGUUCUCGAGUGCGCCGGGGAACAAAGGGCGGCCGAUGCUGACACGACGGCGUUGUACAGGACACUGCACGCACUCAGAGUGGUACCGGCGCCCUUGAAAAAACCUCGACUACCGCCCCACCGCCCUGCUCGUGCUUCAGCGUUUUCCGAAGCCGACGGCGGGGCGGCGCUUUCCCAAGAACGACAGGUUCAGCUGCGGCCUGCAGCCGUUGGCGACGCUGGUGGUUCUCGGGCCUGUUUGUGGCUGUGCGCCGCUACAUCCUUCGUGUGCUUCGCUGCCCUGGUCGCUGCAGUGGCCGCGGUGAUCUUAAGGAGCUCAGACGAGCUGAAUCGAAGCUUUGGUGAAGUCGGACGCGCCUUCAAGGACGAAGUUGCUGCGGCACGGCGAGCGGUGCCUGUAGCUUCGACGACACGGGACACAGUGUCGUCGAGCAGGACGACGCCGAUAAGCGGCAGUGCUCUCGAUGCAUCCAAGAGUUCGUUGAACCGAACAGAUUUUGUAUUUAAGGCCGACUGAUCGCAACGAAACUCACGUUGCAUAUAUCUGCUGCUGCAGCCAUGCAGGCUGCUUGCACUGCAAUGACAUGUGGUCACCCGGAAUUCCUGCAGUGUCACGCGAUAAUUGGGAAUGACGACGACGACGAUCUAUUAAACGUUUUUUGAAUG